GGGUCGAUGGCGUAGCUGGUUAUCGCAUCUGUCUAACAUCCGUCGUAUAAACGGCUGCUUAUCGCACAGAAGGUCCUCAGUUCGAACCUGGGUCGACUCA